rnacentral:sRNA from 1 species
UGAAAUGGAUAUGGCUGGGGGGGGCGAAAUGGAUAUGGCUGUCGAUGCCGCCGGCGGUCAGGAUACGCCCCUCGCCCGCGAUGGCCUCGGUGCCGGGGCCGAUGAUGAUAUCGACGCCCGGUUGCGUGUCGGGAUUGCCGGCCUUGCCGAUCUUGUGGAUGCGACCAUCGCGCAGACCGACAUCGGCCUUGUAAAUACCGGUAUGGUCGAUGAUCAGCGCAUUGGUGAUGACGGUAUCGACCGCCCCGCCCGCACGGGUCACCUGGCUUUGGCCCAUGCCGUCGCGGAUCA